UACGUAGGGUGCAAGCGUUAAUCGGAAUUACUGGGCGUAAAGCGUGCGCAGGCGGUUUUGUAAGUCUGUCGUGAAAUCCCCGGGCUCAACCUGGGAAUUGCGAUGGAGACUGCAAGGCUAGAAUCUGGCAGAGGGGGGUAGAAUUCCACGUGUAGCAGUGAAAUGCGUAGAGAUGUGGAGGAACACCGAUGGCGAAGGCAGCCCCCUGGGUCAAGAUUGACGCUCAUGCACGAAAGCGUGGGGAGCAAACAGGA
rnacentral:rRNA from 1 species